rnacentral:rRNA from 1 species
GACGAACGCUGUCGGCGUGCUUAACACAUGCAAGUCGAACGGAAAGGCCCUGCUUUUGUGGGGUGCUCGAGUGGCGAACGGGUGAGUAACACGUGAGUAACCUGCCCUUGACUUUGGGAUAACUUCAGGAAACUGGGGCUAAUACCGGAUAGGAGCUCCUGCUGCAUGGUGGGGGUUGGAAAGUUUCGGCGGUUGGGGAUGGACUCGCGGCUUAUCAGCUUGUUGGUGGGGUAGUGGCUUACCAAGGCUUUGACGGGUAGCCGGCCUGAGAGGGUGACCGGCCACAUUGGGACUGAGAUACGGCCCAGACUCCUACGGGAGGCAGCAGUGGGGAAUAUUGCACAAUGGGCGGAAGCCUGAUGCAGCAACGCCGCGUGCGGGAUGACGGCCUUCGGGUUGUAAACCGCUUUCGCCUGUGACGUAGCGUGAGUGACGGUAAUGGGUAAAGAAGCACCGGCUAACUACGUGCCAGCAGCCGCGGUGAUACGUAGGGUGCGAGCGUUGUCCGGAUUUAUUGGGCGUAAAGGGCUCGUAGGUGGUUGAUCGCGUCGGAAGUGUAAUCUUGGGGCUUAACCCUGAGCGUGCUUUCGAUACGGGUUGACUUGAGGAAGGUAGGGGAGAAUGGAAUUCCUGGUGGAGCGGUGGAAUGCGCAGAUAUCAGGAGGAACACCAGUGGCGAAGGCGGUUCUCUGGGCCUUUCCUGACGCUGAGGAGCGAAAGCGUGGGGAGCGAACAGGCUUAGAUACCCUGGUAGUCCACGCUGUAAACGGUGGGUACUAGGUGUGGGGUCCAUUCCACGGGUUCCGUGCCGUAGCUAACGCUUUAAGUACCCCGCCUGGGGAGUACGGCCGCAAGGCUAAAACUCAAAGGAAUUGACGGGGCCCCGCACAAGCGGCGGAGCAUGCGGAUUAAUUCGAUGCAACGCGUAGAACCUUACCUGGGUUUGACAUGGAUCGGGAGUGCUCAGAGAUGGGUGUGCCUCUUUUGGGGUCGGUUCACAGGUGGUGCAUGGCUGUCGUCAGCUCGUGUCGUGAGAUGUUGGGUUAAGUCCCGCAACGAGCGCAACCCUUGUUCACUGUUGCCAGCACGUUAUGGUGGGGACUCAGUGGAGACCGCCGGGGUCAACUCGGAGGAAGGUGGGGAUGACGUCAAGUCAUCAUGCCCCUUAUGUCCAGGGCUUCACGCAUGCUACAAUGGCUGGUACAGAGAGUGGCGAGCCUGUGAGGGUGAGCGAAUCUCGGAAAGCCGGUCUCAGUUCGGAUUGGGGUCUGCAACUCGACCUCAUGAAGUCGGAGUCGCUAGUAAUCGCAGAUCAGCAACGCUGCGGUGAAUACGUUCCCGGGGCU